rnacentral:rRNA from 1 species
GGGCCCGCACAAGCGGUGGAGCAUGUGGUUUAAUUCGAAGCAACGCGAAGAACCUUACCAGGUCUUGACAUCCUUUGACCACUCUAGAGAUAGAGCUUCCCCUUCGGGGGCAAAGUGACAGGUGGUGCAUGGUUGUCGUCAGCUCGUGUCGUGAGAUGUUGGGUUAAGUCCCGCAACGAGCGCAACCCUUAUUGUUAGUUGCCAUCAUUUAGUUGGGCACUCUAGUAAGACUAGCGGUGGACAACCGGAACGGAAGGUGGGG